AUCAACCGAGAUUCCCCCAGUAGCGGCGAGCGAACGGGGAGCAGCCCGGAGUCUGAAUCAGCUUGUGUGUUAGUGGAACGGUCUGGAAAGUCCGACGGUACAGGGUGAUAGUCCCGUACACGAAAACACACUUGCUGUGAACUCGAAGAGUAGGGCGGGACACGUGGUAUCCUGUCUGAAUAUGGGGGGACCAUCCUCCAAGGCUAAAUACUCCUGACUGA
rnacentral:rRNA from 1 species